UCUAUAAUAGAAGAGAAGCUCAAGAUUUCAACAUUUUCUGAAGGGAGUUGCAGACAGGUGUAGAAAACUGCUUUUCAAAUUUUCCACAUUUAUCACAGUUAUUUUAAGAUGUUGACAUCUAAACGUGAGUAGCAUUGUGUGAGCAAUAUUAAAUAAGUAAAUCUUACACUGCAUAUUUUAUAUAUUGUUUUCUCUGUGACAGAUUGAAUGUUAUGUUUGUAGAUUUGUCCAUGCUAAUGGCCGAGCAGUAGGGUUGGAACAGACCUGUCAGAAAACAUCUCUGAACCAUAUGACUAAUUUCAAAACAAUUUAUUCUUGAGAGGAGGCACCACAGUUAAAGACAGUGUUUUGAAGAAUUUUGAACUUCCUGCUCACAAACUACAUACUUCUCCAGUUAGUCUGACAGGCUAUCAAUGAGAAUGCGGCAUUACAGGACACCACUGAAAACUAUACCACUAAAAACUGAUUAUUGCUGCAGUCAGAAGAAACAGAUUAACAGCAACUAUCUGCUUGAGACCAAGAGAUUGAGCACUGGGUUAAGACAUGGUUGCAGCUUGCCACAGACAGAGAUGAAGGUCGUUGGGCAAAAGAGAAGAUUUAAAGGCAUAGCUCACCCAAAAAUGGAAACUCAUUUACUUACCAUCAAGAUGUUUCAAACUAUCAAAUGUAUUUGUUCAGUUACUGACUGUUAUAAAUUAUACAGGUUUGGAACAACCUUUGGGUGAGCAAAAUUACAGUUUUAAUUUUAAUUAGUGAACUAUCCCUAUUGUGAGUUUUAUAAGUUUAUUAAGAAAUGUUGAGUAUUAUAUCAGAGUUUUGUAUGUAAGGAGAUGGUAGUUGUACGUUUGUGUGUUAAUAUAGAUGGUUUCAGUGGCAACAACAUAAAUCACUUUCAUGGCCCAAACUUAACUUCGGGUAGACCUCCACAUAGAUUCAAUAACAACCGAGUAUCUCUGGAGCAGUUUUUUUUCUGAUAACAAACAAAAUAAAUAACCAGUAAAUAGCCUUAGAUCAAAUCAUAGCUAAAGCAUUUCAACCAUUACAUUGAUCUAAUGUUACUGGGUAAAAUUAAGCUUUACAAUUUUAGCUACAGAUCUUUGAAAAUGUUUGUACGGUAUACUGUCCAUUUCCAGAAAGGUAAUAAAAACAGCGUGCACAGUGACGCUGCUGACGUGUUAUCCUCAGACAUGUUUGUGAAGAUUGUUUUGUUUAUAGCGUGCGUCUCCCUCAGACUGUAAAAAAAGCUUGGGAACAAGAAAAAGCUUGGGCAAACAAGAUAACAUGUCAGCAGCGUCACUCCAGUGUUGUGCACGAGGUUCACAACAGACCUGGAAGAGAAGACGAUGCUGAAUAAAGUCAUAAUUUCUGUUAUUUUUGGACCAAAAUUUAUUUUCGAUGCUUCAACACAUUCUAACUGACCCACUGAUAUCACAUGGACUACUUUGAUGAUGUACAGUAUAUAUUUGAUCGUGUAUACACAUAUCUAAAACAUCUUAAACUGUUUCCGAAGAUGAACGGAGGUGUUACGGGUUUGGAAUGACAUGAGGGUCAUUAAUUACAUAAUUUUCAUUUUGGAUGAAAUAACCCUUUAAGUUUGGCCAGGUGUGUAACUGUGGCAACGCACAUGCAUCUAUGGGUUCCAGUAUAUCUUACUAUAUAACAUAUUAAUUUAACUAACAUGUUUGACAAAUAUAAUUGUUUA